AUUGAACGCUGGCGGCAUGCCUAACACAUGCAAGUCGAACGGGGUAGCAAUACCCAGUGGCGGACGGGUGAGGAAUACAUAGGAAUUUGCCUUUAGGUGGGGAUAGCCCGGGGAAACUCGGAGUAAUACCGCAUGAUGUCGAAAGACCAAAGUAGGGGAUCGCAAGACCUUGCGCCUUUAGAGAAGCCUAUGUCUGAUUAGCUAGUUGGUAGGGUAAUGGCCUACCAAGGCGACGAACAGUAACUGGUCUGAGAGGACGAUCAGUCACACCGGAACUGAGACACGGUCCGGACUCCUACGGGAGGCAGCAGUGGGAAUAUUGGACAAUGGGCGAAAGCCUGAUCC
rnacentral:rRNA from 1 species